rnacentral:misc_RNA from 1 species
GAAAUGCGAUAAGUAAUGUGAAUUGCAGAAUUCAGUGAAUCAUCGAAUCUUUGAACGCACAUUGCGCCCGCCAGUACUCUGGCGGGCAUGCCUGUUCGAGCGUCAUUUCAACCAUCAAGCCCCUGGCUUGUGUUGGGGACCUGCGGCUGCCCGCAGGCCCUGAAAAACAGUGGCGGGCUCGCUGUCACACCGAGCGUAGUAGCAUACAUUCUCGCUCAGGGCGUGCUGCGGGUUCCGGCCGUUAAACGACCUUCAUAACCCAAGGUUGACCUCGGAUCAGGUAGGAAGACCCGCUGAACUUAAGC